ACAAUCUAAAGAAUAAUUGAUUGAUAAAAAAGACAAAACAUAACCAGAUAUUUGUUUUAAUGAUCACCUUCACCGCCAAGAAGGAGAUGGUAGCGAAUAGAAUCGAUAAUCAACUCUCUACAGAACUCGUUUCCUACGAUAAGUUCGUUGUCUAAAAUAUCAAUCAAAUAUCGUCUAGUGAUUUGUGAGAAACGGACAUAUUUCAUCAGAUCUUCUAAAAACAAGAUUCUUUUAUUUUGAUCAAAUUUUACCCAACGAAUGAUUGCAGUUACCAAGUCAUUCUCAUUCAAGAUCCUUAAUUCGUCUGAUUUCAGAAAUUUCAACAGUCGCUCUGCGGUCAAAUCUAAAAAUUCGUCAUAUUGGGCAAUGUGUAAGAAGUUGGUUUUAACGAAGCUCUCGAUUUUUGCUACAAUUGUCUCAUUUCUAGGAAUGACUUCGGCCAAUUUCCAUAUUCCAAGACAGUUGGCUUCGUCAAGAUUACUCAACAAAUAUUCCAUGCAUAAUUUUUGCACCUUGGUGAACUGCAACAUGCCACUCGCAACGAGCAACUGUUGCACGUUGUCGUGUGUUAUUGUUACUGUUGCUCUGUAACAAAACUCUAUGAGCUGCUCAAGAGCUAUGGAAUCGACAUCCCUGAUUGUGAUAUGAGUUUCCUGACAUUCUUUCAUGUCAGCCAGAAACAUAGCGCGAAAAUACGAGCUUGCUGAGGCUAAGACAAGCUUAUGACAUGUAAACUGCUUGUUGUCGUCCGUGCAAAUCACAACAUCGGUGAAUACAGAUUCUCUACGGAAAUCCGUCAUAAUUUUGAAUGCAUCAGUCAAAGCAAUUUUGUCGUUGAAUUCGUAUGAACCUUUCCCAUAUUUUGAUGAUGAAUCCAUUUUCCUUAACUUUAUCUCUCAAAGGAUUUUGAUGAAGACUCGUCAUUACAUUACCUAGUUUCCGAGCGAAAGAAGUUUAGCUAGUUUUGUGCUGGUGAUUGAUAAGCAUGAUUAAACACUCUCGCGUUAUAACUUCGUGCCAAACAUACAAUCUUUACAAUGUCAUAAAACGUUCACUACAAUGUGUACUACAAGAAAUUUUAUAUCAGUCAAAAGUGUUUUAGACUAACAAUUUUCACUUAAAUCUACUGUGUUCAUAUCCCAGAAAUGAUUAAUGAUGUGAAUAAUAUGACUAUUUCAGGAAGUGAA